GAUGAACGCUGGCGGCGUGCCUAAUACAUGCAAGUAGAACGCUGAAGGAGGAGCUUGCUCUUCUGGAUGAGUUGCGAACGGGUGAGUAACGCGUAGGUAACCUGCCUGGUAGCGGGGGAUAACUAUUGGAAACGAUAGCUAAUACCGCAUGACAACAGUUAUUGCAUGAUAACUGUUUAAAAGGGGCAACUGCUCCACUACCAGAUGGACCUGCGUUGUAUUAGCUAGUUGGUGAGGUAACGGCUCACCAAGGCGACGAUACAUAGCCGACCUGAGAGGGUGAUCGGCCACACUGAGAGUGAGACACGGCCCAGACGGCUACGGGAGGCAGCAGUAGGGAAUCUUCGGCAAUGGACGGAAGUCUGACCGAGCAACGCCGCGUGAGUGAAGAAGGUUGUCGGAUCGUAAAGCUCUGUUGUAAGAGAAGAACGAGUGUGAGAGUGGAAAGUUCACACUGUGACGGUAUCUUACCAGAAAGGGACGGCUAACUACGUG
rnacentral:rRNA from 1 species